AGCGGACAGAUGGGAGCUUGCUCCCUGAUGUUAGCGGCGGACGGGUGAGUAACACGUGGGUAACCUGCCUGUAAGACUGGGAUAACUCCGGGAAACCGGGGCUAAUACCGGAUGGUUGUUUGAACCGCAUGGUUCAGACAUAAAAGGUGGCUUCGGCUACCACUUACAGAUGGACCCGCGGCGCAUUAGCUAGUUGGUGAGGUAACGGCUCACCAAGGCGACGAUGCGUAGCCGACCUGAGAGGGUGAUCGGCCACACUGGGACUGAGACACGGCCCAGACUCCUACGGGAGGCAGCAGUAGGGAAUCUUCCGCAAUGGACGAAAGUCUGACGGAGCAACGCCGCGUGAGUGAUGAAGGUUUUCGGAUCGUAAAGCUCUGUUGUUAGGGAAGAACAAGUGCCGUUCAAAUAGGGCGGCACCUUGACGGUACCUAACCAGAAAGCCACGGCUAACUACGUGCCAGCAGCCGCGGUAAUACGUAGGUGGCAAGCGUUGUCCGGAAUUAUUGGGCGUAAAGGGCUCGCAGGCGGUUUCUUAAGUCUGAUGUGAAAGCCCCCGGCUCAACCGGGGAGGGUCAUUGGAAACUGGGGAACUUGAGUGCAGAAGAGGAGAGUGGAAUUCCACGUGUAGCGGUGAAAUGCGUAGAGAUGUGGAGGAACACCAGUGGCGAAGGCGACUCUCUGGUCUGUAACUGACGCUGAGGAGCGAAAGCGUGGGGAGCGAACAGGAUUAGAUACCCUGGUAGUCCACGCCGUAAACGAUGAGUGCUAAGUGUUAGGGGGUUUCCGCCCCUUAGUGCUGCAGCUAACGCAUUAAGCACUCCGCCUGGGGAGUACGGUCGCAAGACUGAAACUCAAAGGAAUUGACGGGGGCCCGCACAAGCGGUGGAGCAUGUGGUUUAAUUCGAAGCAACGCGAAGAACCUUACCAGGUCUUGACAUCCUCUGACAAUCCUAGAGAUAGGACGUCCCCUUCGGGGGCAGAGUGACAGGUGGUGCAUGGUUGUCGUCAGCUCGUGUCGUGAGAUGUUGGGUUAAGUCCCGCAACGAGCGCAACCCUUGAUCUUAGUUGCCAGCAUUCAGUUGGGCACUCUAAGGUGACUGCCGGUGACAAACCGGAGGAAGGUGGGGAUGACGUCAAAUCAUCAUGCCCCUUAUGACCUGGGCUACACACGUGCUACAAUGGACAGAACAAAGGGCAGCGAAACCGCGAGGUUAAGCCAAUCCCACAAAUCUGUUCUCAGUUCGGAUCGCAGUCUGCAACUCGACUGCGUG
rnacentral:rRNA from 1 species